rnacentral:rRNA from 1 species
AAGUCGCAAGACGAUGUAUACGGACUGACGCCUGCCCGGUGCUGGAACGUUAAGGGGACCGGUUAGCCUCACGGCGAAGCUGAGAACUUAAGCGCCAGUAAACGGCGGUGGUAACUAUAACCAUCCUAAGGUAGCGAAAUUCCUUGUCGGGUAAGUUCCGACCUGCACGAAUGGCGUAACGACUUCCCAGCUGUCUCAACCGCGAACUCGGCGAAAUUGCACUACGAGUAAAGAUGCUCGUUACGCGCAGCAGGACGGAAAGACCCCGGGACCUUUACUACAGCUUGGUAUUGGUGUUCGGUACGGCUUGUGUAGGAUAGGUGGGAGACUGUGAAGCGGACACGCCAGUGUUCGUGGAGUCAACGUUGAAAUACCACUCUGGUCGUUCUGGAUAUCUAACCUCGGUCCGUGAUCCGGAUCAGGGACAGUGCCUGGUGGGUAGUUUAACUGGGGCGGUUGCCUCCUAAAAAGUAACGGAGGCGCCCAAAGGUUCCCUCAACCUGGUUGGCAAUCAGGUGUCGAGUGUAAGUGCACAAGGGAGCUUGACUGUGAGACUGACAAGUCGAGCAGGGACGAAAGUCGGGACUAGUGAUCCGGCAGUGGCUUGUGGAAGCGCUGUCGCUCAACGGAUAAAAGGUACCUCGGGGAUAACAGGCUGAUCUUGCCCAAGAGUCCAUAUCGACGGCAUGGUUUGGCACCUCGAUGUCGGCUCGUCGCAUCCUGGGGCUGGAGUAGGUCCCAAGGGUUGGGCUGUUCGCCCAUUAAAGCGGCACGCGAGCUGGGUUUAGAACGUCGUGAGACAGUUCGGUCCCUAUCCGCUGUGCGCGUAGGAAACUUGAGAAGAGCUAUCCCUAGUACGAGAGGACCGGGAUGGACGAACCUCUGGUGUGUCAGUUGUUCUGCCAAGAGCACCGCUGAUUAGCUACGUUCGGAAGUGAUAACCGCUGAAAGCAUCUAAGCGGGAAGCACGCUUCAAGAUGAGGUUUCCAUGCCCCUUAGGGGUGAGAGGCUCCCAGCGAGACCACUGGGUUGAUAGGCCGGACGUGGAAGCACCGUAAGGUGUGGAGCUGACCGGUACUAAUAAGCCGAUAACUUGAUACA